rnacentral:rRNA from 1 species
GUAGCUAAAUGCGGAAGAGAUAAGUGCUGAAAGCAUCUAAGCACGAAACUUGCCCCGAGAUGAGUUCUCCCUGAGACUUUAG